CAGUGUCUGGUGGGUAGUUUGACUGGGGCGGUCUCCUCCUAAAGAGUAACGGAGGAGCACGAAGGUUGGCUAAUCCUGGUCGGACAUCAGGAGGUUAGUGCAAUGGCAUAAGCCAGCUUGACUGCGAGCGUGACGGCGCGAGCAGGUGCGAAAGCAGGUCAUAGUGAUCCGGUGGUUCUGAAUGGAAGGGCCAUCGCUCAACGGAUAAAAGGUACUCCGGGGAUAACAGGCUGAUACCGCCCAAGAGUUCAUAUCGACGGCGGUGUUUGGCACCUCGAUGUCGGCUCAUCACAUCCUGGGGCUGAAGUAGGUCCCAAGGGUAUGGCUGUUCGCCAUUUAAAGUGGUACGCGAGCUGGGUUUAGAACGUCGUGAGACAGUUCGGUCCCUAUCUGCCGUGGGCGCUGGAGAACUGAGGGGGGCUGCUCCUAGUACGAGAGGACCGGAGUGGACGCAUCACUGGUGUUCGGGUUGUCAUGCCAAUGGCACUGCCCGGUAGCUAAAUGCGGAAGAGAUAAGUGCUGAAAGCAUCUAAGCACGAAACUUGCCCCGAGAUGAGUUCUCCC
rnacentral:rRNA from 1 species